CUUAACCCAGAGGCUGCUUCCGAAACUGCCGUGCUAGAGUGUGAGAGAGGCGAGUGGAAUUACGGGUGUAGCGGUGAAAUGCGUAGAUAUCCGUAGGAACAUCCGAGGCGAAGGCGGCUCGCUGGAUCACAACUGACGCUGAGGGACGAAAGCUAGGGGAGCAAACAGGAUUAGAUACCCUGGUAGUCCUAGCCCUAAACCAUCAGGACUUGGGGUUUGCCCUGUACGGGGCAAGUCCCGUAGCUAACGCGUUAAGUCCUGCGCCUGGGGAGUACGGUCGCAAGACUGAAACUCAAAGGAAUUGACGGGGGCCCGCACAAGCGGUGGAACAUGUGGUUCAAUUCGACGCAACGCGAAGAACCUUACCUGGGCUUGAACCGCACAGGACCAUCUUUGGAAACAGAGACUUCCCGCAAGGGACCUGUGUAGAGGUGCUGCAUGGCUGUCGUCAGCUCGUGCCGUGAGGUGUUGGGUUAAGUCCCGCAACGAGCGCAACCCUUACUCAUAGUUGCCACCCGCAAGGGGGAACUCUAUGAGGACUGCUCCGGAUAACGGAGAGGAAGGUGGGGAUGAGGUCAAGUCAGCAUGGCCUUUAUGUCCAGGGCUACACACGUGUUACAAUGCGCGCCACAAAGCGUUGCAAACCCGCGAGGGGGAGCUAAUCGCAAAAAAGCGCGCUCAGUUCGGAUUGCAGUCUGCAACUCGACUGCAUGAAGCCGGAAUCGCUAGUAAUGGCGCAUCAGAACGGCGCCGUGAAUACGUUCCCGGGCCUUGUACACACCGCCCGUCACAUCACGAAAGUGGGCUGUACUAGAAAUCGCCGUGCCAACCGCAAGGAGGCAGGCGCUCAAGGUAUGACUCAUGAUUGGGGUGAAGUCGUAACAAGGUAACC
rnacentral:rRNA from 1 species